rnacentral:piRNA from 1 species
CCNGUGCUUUCCAUGGGGCCACCAUCACCUG